GCACCGCGGAGGAAGAGGCGGCGGUGGCAUGUGAUCCCCCGCAGGGCGACAGUAGAAAUCGGGGAAACCCCUAUUGCCCAGGAAGGUGGUACCCUAUAAUCUAUUCACGAAGGACACUUCCCAAGUACACCUGGUCCUCGUCACAGCCCAGGGAAGAUUGGGCGGGAGCCCUGAGAACCGAGAGUCACAAAUAUGCGGGCCCCACAGCGCCCCCUGCGCGCAAAACGCGCAGUGUGCACACGAGGCGCGUGGAGGAAAUCCCGGCCCAACGCCCCGCGGGCGCGAAAGACGAAGCGGAAAGGGGACACUGCGGGCGCUCAGAGCUAAGUAGCAGUGAGCUGUCCGGAGCUUCCCGCCACCAGGGGCCAGGUCUCCCGCGAGCUGUCGCCUAGCUACAAUGGCCUGCCCAGUGCUCGGAAACCAAGAAGCCGCCCUGUGCUGCCUCGGCUCCCACGCCUCCCUCCAGGAAAGAAGGCGACGGCUGUGAGGAUCACGCCCGCCGAGUUCUUUCCCAAGCCUGUGAAGUUGCAGGAUGGAUGACUCCAGGCCCUCCAGGGACUUCCCCACUCACCCCCUUGGGGUCCCCGGCGUGAGUCACCGGGGCCGAGCCGCGCAACAGCCGCCGCUCGCCUCCGUCCCAGACACUGCGCGCGCAGGAAAAAGUUUCCGGCGUUCCAGACAAAGUUUUCUCGCUGGAGAUAAACAAGCGAUCAGGAUGGUUCUCGCUUUGCUCUCCCUCCCUGGGUCCUCUCCCAGCUCUGCCCUACGCCUGGUCGCGUCCAGCCCGGCCUCCUCUCCCCGGAGUAGCUCCCGGAGUGGCUGGUGACUGUUUCCCUCCUCUCUCAACUUACGGCCGCCUCCUCUCCUCCCCCACCUCCUCCCACUUUUCCUGUCCGGUGCUUAUCGCUCUAGUUUCUCUCCAACGCCCCCGCCUCACCUCACCCCGUCCCACGCCUCCUCUCCCGCACCGAGGGGAGGCGGGGCACCCUGAGCUUAAAUCCACUUCAACGGUUUCAGCUCGUGGUCCUAAAAACCAGGGGAGGAUGCUGCAAGUCUAGGGAACUCCGCAACACCUUUCCCUCGUCCAAGAGGAGGUUGGCCUCCCACGGCUAAUCCCACAAUGAGAAACUGCCCGGGAGCCCAGAGGUGUUUGUGUGACCAGAUAAAAAAGAGCAGAGACCUGCA